AUUAUCUGUUAUUUUACGAUACAAGGUAUAGUACAAACAUGAUAGCUGACCGCAGGCGCAAAUAUUUACUAUGUCCUAAUUAUAUACCGGUAAAGAUAUGAUAACUGGCAAAUCUAGAAAAAAGAUUCUCACGAAAAACCACAAAACCGAACUUUUAAAUAUGGUUCUGCAAGCUCCAAGUCCUCAGUUGUUGUUUUGAGUGCAAAGAAAAAUGGUCCUAGACACAUAUUUACCACAAAUUUUGGAUAGGGUGAGGACUCACCUCACCCAUGCGGAAAGGAGGCAACAAACCAUAAUCAUGGAGGGGGGGGGGGUUUAAACCCGUCCCCUACCCCAGAGGGGUUUAUAUCGUUGGGGUCGGUGGGCCCAUACGACAUAUUAAUAGAGAAAGACGUCAAUAUAACGGUAUGGUGUCUUAAACGAUGCUGAUUAGUUUAUAUUUUUUUAAUUUUAAUUUUGAAAGAUAUAUUGAUUGAUACCAAUUGGGCAUAAUUAUGAACAUCGAAGAAUCAGCUGACAUGUGAUCAAAACAAUGAAACAAAAUAAUCAUACAUGUUUACUAAAUGAUUCCUCGUUUAUUUAUGUGGCAACUUUAACAUACAUUUUUCAUACUGGUAUAAUAUAAUAGUUAUUUUAUUAGAUAAAAUAUUACUCCAUAGCGGAUUAUUCUAAUAAUUGAUAGAAAUAUGUACACAAAGCAACCACUCUAUCCUUGUGCAGAAAUGUAAUUGAUUUGAAUAAUAAGGAUCUGUCGUUUUUCCGCAAAAGGAAAUGCAGAGAUACCACAUUAUUCCUGAUAAAAAUGCAACAUUGUAACAAAUUAUCAGCUGCUUCGUUCGAAUGAUAGUUCAGGAUAUGAAGCACCGCAAAAGGAAAUGCAGAGAUACCACAUCAUUCCUGAUAAAAAUGCAACAUUGUAACAAAUUAUCAGCUGCUUCGUUCGAAUGAUAGUUCAGGAUAUGAAGCACCGCAAAAAGGAAAUGCAGAGAUACCACAUUAUUCCUGAUAAAAAUGCAACAUUGUAACAAAUUAUCAGCUGCUUCGUUCGAAUGAUAGUUCAGGAUAUGAAGCACUGAUUGAAGUCGUUUUAAAUAAUAUUUUCUAAAAAAAAAAAGCUUGUGGGAGGACGUUGGGUAAGGUCAAGGUAACAUUUUCAUUGGAUAUGAGUAUAUCUCCUAUUUUUUCGCAAUAGAAUCCGAUUGAAUGGGGAGAUAUCCGAAAACUGCAAUGCGUAAUUACUACUAUAUAUAUUUUUUUAGAAGGUGGGACACACAUUCUACAUUUAUCUGUAAAAUAAUCGUUUUCAUAACUCGCAGUAUUUCGCCGUUUAUUCGUUGACCCAAGAGAACAUCGCUCUCAGCCCUCACGAUGACAAACGAUAUCUAGUAUCUGGAACCUUUGAAACACUACCCUGGGACCAUUAUUCCAUCAACAAACGAAAAACAGAAGAACCUGAUGAGCCAAGGAAGAAGAUUACUAUAUUGGAAACACUAUUAACUAUGUAACACUCUGUAAUUGUUUUCCACUAAUUGUAUAAUAAAUAACCAAAUUCAAUUAUUUGUAAA